UCCUCUUUGUCGACACAAAUAUUAAAAUUUUCUCCUUUAUACAUGGUUGCACCCAUGCUCUGCAGUCGCCGCCAUCAAGGCCGCCCUUCUUUUCACCCUUCUCGGAAACCUUAUUCCUUCCGCCCCCUUUUGCCUUCAACCUCACACAAAGGCGCUAAGUAUUGUUUCUAAUGAUCUAUUCCAGAUUUGUGGCCAUGAAAUAGGAAACAUGAAGAAUAAUCAAUCAAAUUUUACAGUUUAUUUUGGUGUGUAUUUUUUGUUCUUACAUUCAUUUUCAAUUUUUUAAUCUAUUUUUUUAUUAUAUUUAGGCAUGAUCCAAAUCACACAAUUAAGAAAUCGAUUAGGGAGACUUAGCAAAUUAGGAAGAUGACAAUCAAGGUUAUGAUGGUUGUAUCUGCUUACUGUAUGUGGUAUCCCCCAACAACCACCUCCAUCUAUCGGUUUUAGUUAUAAGAAGUAGUUUCAUUGUCUAAAUGAUAUUCGUUAGUUAUAAGAAGUAGUUUCAUUGAUAGAUCCAUUUUUGAAGGAUGAAGUAAUGGUCAGAAGUUUUUGUUGAAUCAAUUCUCUAAGCUUCUUGACAAAUAUGAUGUUUGAUAUUUCCGUUUUAGGGGAUUUUGAUUAUGUCGGAGUUCGGGCAUUUUUUAGGGUUUUUGUUGGUUGACCAGAUGUUGUGAGCAAAUUUGGGAAUCACACCAUCAUCUUCGUUUUCUCCUUCAGGGUAGAAGGGAUCGAUUAAGAAAUAUGGGGUCCACACCCACUAUCUCGACCGCAUACAAUACACCAUCGUAAGGAGUUUCAAGGAGAUAUCAGCAGCAUGUCACUUCAGACAAAAAAAGACAGAAACGUUAGGCCUAAUUUGGAAUUUACAUUCCAUUGAAACUAUAGAUCCACCAUAUAUGACAGGAAGGAUAUAGUUCAGUUUUGCAAACUUUUAAUUCUUUGUCUGAUGCUAUUUCUUUGGUAAGGCUUAUGAUUACUUUCAUUUGCAUAUGUACAUGCACAAUAACAUAUAGUAUAUAUUAGAAAACAUUCUCAUCCAUUAUCACAUAUAUAGUGAUAAUUUUAAUUUUAAUUUUAAUUUAGAUGGAUGGAUGACGAGAUUUGCACUAACAAGUGUGGCUGUCUUUAUCAACCUUGAAACAUUUUCAUGGUUGAAUAUCACGAUCCAUUAAGCUAGAACCACUAAGUUAUCGAUUCUAAAGAAAACCACUAGAUGGACGUGUUUUAUAAAAAAACAUAAUUUAGUGUUAUUUUCUAAUAAAGUAUGUUUGGUCUAUGAUUCAACGAGUUUCAAUGGAAGGGAUGAGUUGAUGAAGCUCCUAAACGAGUCUUGGAGGUGCAUUUAGUAGAAGAUAUCGAUAGAUUGAAGGCAUUAAUCUUUUAGUGUAUUAUUCCUUGGGAUGAUAACUUCAAUGUGAGUUUUAAAUAUGUACUGUAUAAGCUUGAAAUUAUCAAUUAUAAUCAUUUUUUUUUAUCUCAAUAUAUAUAAUAAAGGUAUUUCGGUCUUUAAAUGACUAAAUAUAUUGUGUUUACUAUUAUAUUAAGGUGGCAUAAUCAUGAGAUUUACCUAAUGUUCUGUAGAACAAAUCUUUCUAAUCAAAGAUAUUUUCUCAUUUAAUUUGUUUGUUUGACCUCUUGAUAAUUAGUUUCGGGCAUUGUUUGUGACUCUUUGUCAGCAACUAAGGAUUUUAUCAACUCGUAGCAAACUCAUGAUGGAAUUUUUGGUCAACAUAUGCUCAUCGAAAUGGAGAGUGAUCAUAUUGCUAAUUACUAAAGAGAAGGGGAUUGAAGCUUCAUUAAACUCUUCUCUUGCUCAUAUAUUGCACCUAUUAAGAGGAGAGGACUGAUAACAUUCCUAAACAUUGUUUUUCUUCAAUAAUCGUUGAAUCCAAUCAAAUGUGUUCAGUUCAA